UACAGAGGUCUCAAGCGUUGUUCGGAUUCAUUGGGCGUAAAGGGCGCGUAGGCGGUGUGUCAAGUCAGGCGUGAAAGCCCCGGGCUCAACCUGGGAACAGCGCUUGAGACUGGCACGCUCGAGUUCGGGAGAGGAUGGUGGAAUUCCCAGUGUAGAGGUGAAAUUCGUAGAUAUUGGGAAGAACACCGAUGGCGAAGGCAGCCAUCUGGACCGACACUGACGCUGAGGCGCGAAAGCGUGGGGAGCAAACAGG
rnacentral:rRNA from 1 species